rnacentral:rRNA from 1 species
UUGAAAGGGAAACGAUUGAAGUCAGUCGUAUCGACGAGAAAUCAACUCUUCGAGUGCGAACUUGUGGGCGUGCGUGAGCUUCGGUCUCGCUGUUUGCAACGUUUGUGCUUUUUGGGUGUACUUUUUCGUAUGAUAGGCCAACAUCAGUUUCGAACACCAUAAAAUGACCGGCGGAAUGUAGCUUCGAUCUUGUAUUGAAGUGUUAUAGCUUCUGGUAGAUGUGAUGAUCGGGACUGAGGAUUGCAACGAAUACCCUUCGGGUUAUCCGUCUGACCUCUGAAGGUUACUUAGGUGCCGAAAGCUUGCUUACGGUUAUUUAAGUUGACAGUCAAAAGGCUAGAACGUGAUUAAAUUCGUUAAGGAUGUUGACGUA